rnacentral:rRNA from 1 species
CGGGUGGUAAUGCCGGAUGCUCCAUCACACCGCAUGGUGUGUUGGGAAAGCCUUUGCGGCAUGGGAUGGGGUCGCGUCCUAUCAGCUUGAUGGCGGGGUAACGGCCCACCAUGGCUUCGACGGGUAGCCGGCCUGAGAGGGCGACCGGCCACAUUGGGACUGAGAUACGGCCCAGACUCCUACGGGAGGCAGCAGUGGGGAAUAUUGCACAAUGGGCGCAAGCCUGAUGCAGCGACGCCGCGUGAGGGAUGGAGGCCUUCGGGUUGUAAACCUCUUUUGUUAGGGAGCAAGGCAUUUUGUGUUGAGUGUACCUUUCGAAUAAGCACCGGCUAACUACGUGCCAGCAGCCGCGGUAAUACGUAGGGUGCAAGCGUUAUCCGGAAUUAUUGGGCGUAAAGGGCUCGUAGGCGGUUCGUCGCGUCCGGUGUGAAAGUCCAUCGCUUAACGGUGGAUCCGCGCCGGGUACGGGCGGGCUUGAGUGCGGUAGGGGAGACUGGAAUUCCCGGUGUAACGGUGGAAUGUGUAGAUAUCG